AUUGAACGCUGGCGGCAGGCCUAACACAUGCAAGUCGAGCGGGGUUUUCGGACCUAGCGGCGGACGGGUGAGUAAUGCGUAGGAAGCUGCCCGAUAGAGGGGAUACCAGUUGGAAACGACUGUUAAUACCGCAUAAUGUCUACGGACCAAAGUGUGGGACCUUCGGGCCACAUGCUAUCGGAUGCGCCUACGUGGGAUUA
rnacentral:rRNA from 1 species